rnacentral:rRNA from 1 species
GACGAACGCUGGCGGCGUGCUUAACACAUGCAAGUCGAACGGAAAGGCCCUGCUUUUGUGGGGUGCUCGGGUGGCGAACGCGUGCGUAACACGUGAGUAACCUGCCCUUGACUUUGGGAUAACUUCAGGAAACUGGGGCUACUCCCGUAUAGCAUCUCCUGCUGCAUGGUGGGGGUUGGAAAGUUUCGGCGGUUGGGGAUGGACUCGCGGCUUAUCAGCUUGUUGGUUGGGGAGUGGCUGACCAAGGCUUUGACGGGUAGCCGGCCUGAGAGGGUGACCGGCGACAUGGGGACUGAGAGACGGACCAGACUGCAACGGGAGGCAGUAGUGGGGAAUAUGGCACAAUGGGCGGAAGCCUGAUGCAGAAACGCCGCGUGCGGGAUGACGGCCUUCGGGUUGUAAAACGCUUUAGCCUGUGACGAAGCGGGAGUGACGGUAAUGGGUAAAGAAGCACCGGCUAACUACGUG